GUGAAAGCUGGCGGUAGGCCUAACACAUGCAAGUCGAACGGGAGCACAGUAAGUGCUUGCUCUUACGGGUGGCGAGUGGCGGACGGGAGAGGAAUACAUCGGAAUCUACUAUUUCGUGGGGGAUACCGUAGGGAAACUUACGCUACUACCGCAUACGACCUACGGGUGAAAGCAGGGGAUCUUCGGACCUUGCGCGAUUGAAUGAGCCGAUGUCGGAUGAGCUAGUUGGCGGGGUAAAGGCCCACCAAGGCGACGAUCAGUAGCUGGUGUGAGAGGAUGAUAGGCCGCACUGGAACUGGGACACGGUCCAGACUCCUACGGGAGGCAGCAGUGGGGAAUAGUGGGCAAUGGUCGGAAGCCUGGUCCAGCCAUACCGCGUGUGUUAAGAAGGCCUUCGGGUUGUAAAGCCCUUUUUUUGGGAAAGAAAAGCAGCAGGUUAAGACCCCGCUGUUCUGACGGUACCCAAAGAAUAAGCACCGGCUAACUUCGUG
rnacentral:rRNA from 1 species